rnacentral:rRNA from 1 species
UACGUAGGGUGCGAGCGUUGUCCGGAAUUACUGGGCGUAAAGAGCUCGUAGGUGGUUUGUCGCGUUGUUCGUGAAAACUCACAGCUUAACUGUGGGCGUGCGGGCGAUACGGGCAGACUGGAGUACUGCAGGGGAGACUGGAAUUCAUGGUGUAGCGGUGGAAUGCGCAGACAUCAGGAGGAACACCGGUGGCGAAGGCGGGUCUCUGGGCAGUAACUGACGCUGAGGAGCGAAAGCGUGGGGAGCGAACAGG